UUUUUUUUUUCUGGUUUUUUUUUUCUCUACUAAUUUUUGUUGAUUUCAAUGGGUUUAUUACACAUACUUGUAUUGUUUUCAAUGGGUAGAUUGCAAGUGGACUGUGGUAUAUGCAGCUUGGCGUUGUUUUUCGUGGUGCUGAUAAUUGUUCUGUAGCUUCUUUUGAGGCGAAAGUUCUGAUACUUAAAGUUGGAAUAUUAAUUUUGAUUUGCAUGGGACAUCUGUCAUUUGUUUUAGAAAUGUUAUACUCAGGGGUUGUGAUGCAAAAUGGGAAUGUGUUGUGAAGCAAAAUGGGAAUGUCCAAUGGCCUGGAACCAGCCACUAAUUUUUGUUCUGUUCAAGUCCAAGCAUUUGAUUCUUUUUUUUUUCAGCAUGAUUCAAGAUUGGUUAAGGCGGUUCUUUGCAGACAAAAUUGCCUAGUUUUCACAUCUUUUGUGGGAACCUCAGUUUGUCUCUUUACAUGGAGGAUCAAAUAACAAAUGGCAUCUCAGAAAGCCAGUGCUUUCAUCUCUUGUUAGCCCUUGGCUUGCUAUGAUGCGUACGCUACUUGUGUUUAUUUUCAAUAAAGCAUGAUGCAGGAUUGGGAUUUAAAAUUAGGGUGAUGAUGCCCUGAACUACUUCCAUAACCAUUUUAUACUGGGAGAUAUUUUGUUGUGCAAUUAUCCUUGAAUCUUUAAUGUGGCUUGCUUAAUGGGAGUUAGUAGUUGGUUAAUAGUAAGGGAAGCUUUGUCAUACUUUUUUGUUUCAUAAGCCAAGGGCAUUAUGUGUUUGUAAGAAAAUUUUCUGAGUUAUGCUGACAUUUUUUUACUAAUAUGCAUGGUUGAUCAUAGAGGCAACUUUUUUGGCUUAAGCUAAUAGUGCAUCCACUAAUUCAGUGGCUAACAAUGUUAUCAUGAGGUGGAUCAUGAUUGCUUCAAUUUUAGUAUCUUUCUGGGAACACUGGUGUGAUCGUUUCAUUGUUUCACCCACUAUUGAUAUUUGUAUAUGGCUCAUUCAGGGUCAACUCUUUAAAACAAUAAUAUUUGAUUAGUUUCUUAGGUCCUCUAUAUCUUUUUUGUCAUUCUUUUUGUUCUUUAAGGGAGGGAAACUUUCUUCUGUUUUGGAAAGAAAUUAAUCGCUUGAGUAUGUUUUUGCAAAUGCAUGCACAUGCAUGCCUCAACAUUUGAUUGCAGAAAUGAGAAGUCAAUGAAGCUCGCCCAUGUUAGCUUCUGUUUCACUCUGAAUAGCCUUGUUGUAAUUAUUUCAUUUUUGCCGUUUGACCUUCCAUGAACUCUGCACAUAAUUGUUCUAAGCUUACCUUCUUGUCUAUUGGUGUAACGUGCAGUGUUAUUAAGGCUAAAGGCGACACUGAGUCGAUAAGGUAUCCCAUGGCCUUAGGCGAGAGGCGAGGCAAGAGCCUUUUUGAAGCAAGGCGAGAGCCUUUUUGAAGCAAGAAGCUAUAAUCUUAAUUGCCAAAAUU
rnacentral:misc_RNA from 1 species